rnacentral:rRNA from 1 species
GCGAAAAGAACCCCGGCGAGGGGAGUGAAAAAGAACCUGAAACCGUGUACGUACAAGCAGUGGGAGCACGCUUAGGCGUGUGACUGCGUACCUUUUGUAUAAUGGGUCAGCGACUUAUAUUCUGUAGCAAGGUUAACCGAAUAGGGGAGCCGAAGGGAAACCGAGUCUUAACUGGGCGUUAAGUUGCAGGGUAUAGACCCGAAACCCGGUGAUCUAGCCAUGGGCAGGUUGAAGGUUGGGUAACACUAACUGGAGGACCGAACCGACUAAUGUUGAAAAAUUAGCGGAUGACUUGUGGCUGGGGGUGAAAGGCCAAUCAAACCGGGAGAUAGCUGGUUCUCCCCGAAAGCUAUUUAGGUAGCGCCUCGUGAAUUCAUCUCCGGGGGUAGAGCACUGUUUCGGCAAGGGGGUCAUCCCGACUUACCAACCCGAUGCAAACUGCGAAUACCGGAGAAUGUUAUCACGGGAGACACACGGCGGGUGCUAACGUCCGUCGUGAAGAGGGAAACAACCCAGACCGCCAGCUAAGGUCCCAAAGUCAUGGUUAAGUGGGAAACGAUGUGGGAAGGCCCAGACAGCCAGGAUGUUGGCUUAGAAGCAGCCAUCAUUUAAAGAAAGCGUAAUAGCUCACUGGUCGAGUCGGCCUGCGCGGAAGAUGUAACG